UUUAAGUUUUUCAAGUUUCUAGGUGUCCAGGUACAGAAACCAAAUAUUCAAAUGUAAAAUAGCACUGCAUAAUCUUCACUGUAAAAAUUAAAUGUACAGUCAAACAAAAAUGUAUUUAGACACCUUCAACAUUUCUCACAUUAUCACAGUUUAUUUGCUAUAGUUUAGAAUGGUAAUAAAAUAUGACAAGAACUCUUAGUUAAACUGUGUCAGAACAAAUUCAUCUUGAUAAUGUCAGAUAACUCUGAUAGAAAGGUAUGUAAUGAUUUACAAUCAACCAAAAAAUCAGAUAACUGUUAGUAUGACAAUAUUUACACAACUAUCAAUAGUUUGUUGACCAACUACUUAGCAAUGCUUAAUUUUUUUCAGUCUGUGGUGUACAAAGGUUGCAUUUGCAAAGGUCAAUGAUACACAUCCAAUAUCUUUCUCCACUGUUUACUUUCACUUUAGACAUAACUGACAGUUUUUUGGAGGAUACCCUCCAAUUUUGACAAUUUUGUAUGUUUUUGUUGGUUCAAGAGCAAGAAGAGGCAAAUUCGGUGUUCAAGCGCUUAGAGAUGCGUCUCUUCUGUGUGCUCCCUGUGUACACAGAACACCACGUAGGAGGACACGAAGGAGAGCUCGAUUCGAUGUUGCUGUCCUUGAGACGUGGCUCUCUGUGUGCACCAAACACAGCAUGCAAGUACUCAGUUGAGAGUUGAAAAACUUGUGUUUGAAUGCUUUAAACUCUUUCGUAUGUUUAAAUUAGCCAGGCUUAAAAACAUAUUUAAAUGAUAAGCUUUCAUGACGAUGUGCGGCAGUUGCCCGUCAACUGUCCUGAGCAUCUUUUUAGGCUCGCCUUUGCCAGUUGGUUGAGAUCACUGGGGGGCCCCCCCUCAGCCAUGGGCCCAUAUAAUCCUCACCAACUUUCAGCCCACUAGCGAUGGCCCUGGUUCCUCAGCCCAUUGUGGUGCGGGCUUUUUGUCCAGCACGCAAAACAAUUAAAAAAAAUGCAGUUUAGUAUUUGAGGAUGCCAAGGAAUAAUUCUGUGUAAAACCAGGCUAUGUCAAAUAAUUAUUACAAUAAAUAAGGCUUUAAAAUGAUACACAUUUAUGAUUUACAAUAUGGAAAGAGGAAAUAAAACAGUUUGUUAAGAGUAUGACCCAAACAUGCCAUUAAUGGGCUUAUUCAAGUCCUCUUUUAUUUUUUGACUUAUUUUUAUCCGUUCUGCAUCUCCCACACAUGUGUGUUUUAGCAAGGCGGUCUGUGUUGCAAGUUAAUGAAUAAAGGUACUUGCCAGGAUUUAACACAGAGUAACAGCUCACUACCAGUUACAAAAGACACUGUAACAUUCUGUCACAGGCAAUUCUAGUAGCAUUUUUCAUCAAUUAAUUUAAUAAAUUAUCCUUUGAUUAUAUAUAUAUAUAGUAUAUAUAUAUUCUGGCCCGCCAACUAGUGGCAAAUUGUUUUUUGGCCCGAUGCCAAACUUACUUGCCGACCCCUAAUCUAAAUCUUGACAAAAUGUAGUCUUUUAUAAUGUCUAAAUAUAUAUCUAAAUGCAAAACCUGAUUAAAUGAAGAAAUGUUGUCUAAAAAUCAAUGCGAAUCCAAAAGCUAUAUGUACAGGUCCUUCUCAAAAAAUUAGCAUAUUGUGAAAAAGUUCAUUAUUUUCCAUAAUGUAAUGAUAAAAAUUAAACUUUCAUAUAUUUUAGAUUCAUUGCACACCAACUGAAAUAUUUCAGGU
ensembl:lncRNA